rnacentral:rRNA from 1 species
GACAGAGGGGGCAAGCGUUGCUCGGAAUCACUGGGCGUAAAGCGCACGUAGGCGGGUUGUUAAGUCAGGGGUGAAAUCCUGGAGCUCAACUCCAGAACUGCCUUUGAUACUGGCAACCUAGAGGCUGGAAGAGGUUAGUGGAAUUCCCAGUGUAGAGGUGAAAUUCGUAGAUAUUGGGAAGAACACCAGUGGCGAAGGCGGCUAACUGGUCCAGAUCUGACGCUGAGGUGCGAAAGCGUGGGGAGCGAACAGG